AAUAUUGGACAAUGGGGGCAACCCUGAUCCAGCCAUCCCGCGUGUGCGAUGAAGGCCCUCGGGUUGUCAAGUACUUUUGGCCGAGAAGAAAAGGUAUCUCCUAAUACGAGAUACUGCUGACGGUAUCUGCAGAAUAAGCACCGGAUAACUACGUUCCAGCAGCCGCGGUAAUACGUAGGGUGCAAGCGUUAAUCGGAAUUACUGGGCGUAAAGCGUGUGUAGGCGGUUCGGAAAGAAAGAUGUGAAAGCCCAGGGCUCAACCUUGGAACUGCAUUUUUAACUGCCGAGCUAGAGUAUGUCAGAGGGGGGUAGAAUUCCACGUGUAGCAGUGAAAUGCGUAGAUAUGUGGAGGAAUACCGAUGGCGAAGGCAGCCCCCUGGGAUAAUACUGACGCUCAGACACGAAAGCGUGGGGAGCAAACAGG
rnacentral:rRNA from 1 species